rnacentral:rRNA from 1 species
CGAAGGGUGCAAGCGUUAAUCGGAAUUACUGGGCGUAAAGCGUGCGUAGGCGGUUUGUUAAGUCCGAUGUGAAAGCCCUGGGCUCAACCUGGGAAUGGCAUUGGAUACUGGCGAGCUAGAGUCAGGUAGAGGGUGGUGGAAUUCCCGGUGUAGCGGUGAAAUGCGUAGAGAUCGGGAGGAACAUCUGUGGCGAAGGCGGCCACCUGGACCAUGACUGACGCUGAGGCACGAAAGCGUGGGAGCAAACAGGAUU